rnacentral:rRNA from 1 species
UACGAAUGGUGCAAGCGUUACUCGGAAUCACUGGGCGUAAAGCGCACGUAGGCGGACUUACAGGUCAAUUGUGAAAUACCUGGGCUCAACCCGGGAACUGCAGUUGAAACCGUUUGUCUUGAAUACCUGAGAGGGUGGGGGAAUACCUGGUGGAGAAGUGAAAUUCGUAGAGAUCAGGUGGAACACCGGAGGCGAAGGCGCCUGCCUGGCAGUGUAUUGACGCUGAGGUGCGAAAGUGCGGGGAGCAAACAGG